rnacentral:pre_miRNA from 1 species
CGCGGGCGGGGGUCCCUCAGCCUGGAUUGCAAGAGGGUGCAGGCCAGGCCAAGGGACCCCACUGGUUCACG